rnacentral:rRNA from 1 species
AGAGUUUGAUCCUGGCUCAGAUUGAACGCUGGCGGCAUGCCUUACACAUGCAAGUCGAACGGCAGCAUAGGAGCUUGCUCCUGAUGGCGAGUGGCGAACGGGUGAGUAAUAUAUCGGAACGUGCCCUAGAGUGGGGGAUAACUAGUCGAAAGACUAGCUAAUACCGCAUACGAUCUACGGAUGAAAGUGGGGGAUCGCAAGACCUCAUGCUCCUGGAGCGGCCGAUAUCUGAUUAGCUAGUUGGUGGGGUAAAAGCCUACCAAGGCAACGAUCAGUAGCUGGUCUGAGAGGACGACCAGCCACACUGGGACUGAGACACGGCCCAGACUCCUACGGGAGGCAGCAGUGGGGAAUUUUGGACAAUGGGGGCAACCCUGAUCCAGCAAUGCCGCGUGAGUGAAGAAGGCCUUCGGGUUGUAAAGCUCUUUUGUCAGGGAAGAAACGGUAGUAGCGAAUAACUAUUACUAAUGACGGUACCUGAAGAAUAAGCACCGGCUAACUACGUGCCAGCAGCCGCGGUAAU